GAUGAACGCUGACAGAAUGCUUAACACAUGCAAGUCUUUGGCGAAGCUGUGCUCGCACAGCCUAGCCAAGGCGGACGGGUGAGUAACGCGUAAGGAACUUGCCCUGCAGUCAGGGAUAACAGACGGAAACGACUGAUAAGACCUGGUAAAGUCAGGCGGACUCAUGUCCAGCCUGAUGAAAAGAGAUGCUGCAGGAGAGCCUUGCGUCCUAUUAGCUUGUUGGUGGGGUAACGGCCCACCAAGGCGAUGAUAGGUAGCCGGCCUGAGAGGGUGGACGGCCACAAGGGGACUGAGAUACGGCCCUUACUCCUACGGGAGGCAGCAGUGGGGAAUAUUGGACAAUGGGGGCAACCCUGAUCCAGCAAUUCUGUGUGCACGAUGAAGGUUUUCGGAUUGUAAAGUGCCUUCAGCAGGGAAGAAAAAAAUGACGGUACCUGCAGAAGAAGCGACGGCUAAAUACGUG
rnacentral:rRNA from 1 species